UACGUAGGGUGCAAGCGUUAAUCGGAAUUACUGGGCGUAAAGCGUGCGCAGGCGGUUGUGCAAGACAGAUGUGAAAUCCCCGGGCUUAACCUGGGAAUUGCAUUUGUGACUGCACGGCUAGAGUGUGUCAGAGGGGGGUAGAAUUCCACGUGUAGCAGUGAAAUGCGUAGAUAUGUGGAGGAAUACCGAUGGCGAAGGCAGCCCCCCUGGAUAACACUGACGCUCAUGCACGAAAGCGUGGGGACG
rnacentral:rRNA from 1 species